rnacentral:rRNA from 1 species
GAUGAACGCUGGCGGCGUGCCUAAUACAUGCAAGUCGAGCGAACGGACGAGAAGCUUGCUUCUCUGAUGCUAGCGGCGGACGGGUGAGUAACACGUGGAUAACCUACCUAUAAGACUGGGAUAACUUCGGGAAACCGGAGCUAAUACCGGAUAAUAUUUUGAACCGCGUGGUUCAAAAGUGAAAGACGGUCUUGCUGUCACUUAUAGAUGGAUCCGCGCUGCAUUAGCUAGUUGGUAAGGUAACGGCUUACCAAGGCAACGAUGCAUAGCCGACCUGAGAGGGUGAUCGGCCACACUGGAACUGAGACACGGUCCAGACUCCUACGGGAGGCAGCAGUAGGGAAUCUUCCGCAAUGGGCGAAAGCCUGACGGAGCAACGCCGCGUGAGUGAUGAAGGUCUUCGGAUCGUAAAACUCUGUUAUUAGGGAAGAACAUAUGUGUAAGUAACUGUGCACAUCUUGACGGUACCUAAUCAGAAAGCCACGGCUAACUACGUG